GGCUGGUCUGAGUGAAGUGGUGUUUACAACUAAUUGAUCACAACCAGUUACAGAUUUAUUUGUCCUUCUCCACUCCCACUGCUUCACUUCACUAGCCUUAC
ensembl:misc_RNA Y_RNA Y RNA